GGAAAAGUAAGCCAGCUAGCAAGGCAUUGUUGUCAUUUUAUAAAAGGCGAUGAUAAGCAGAAAUAAGGGAGUACUAUCUCAUAGUAGUAUAUGAAAAAGAUACCUUCAUCCUCUCACAACACAGAAAGGCUUGAUUGAGAGAGAUGAGAAAGGGACUGGUACAGACGUAACUUCAAAAUCACCUAGCUUACGGCAGAAUGGCUUUCCACGACAUCUGGAUAAUGCUUACAGAGAGAAGAGGCUGGAAGAAAGGAGGCCCUACCAGAUGAUAAUCCUAUUUGCCACAUCUUCAGUUUAAGCCUACUGGAGAGUGUGUGCCCUCAGGCCUGGAAGGAAGCUAAAGUCAUUCCGCUACCCAAGAAUAGUAAAGCCCCCUUUACUGGCUCAAAUAGCCAACCAAUCAGCCUGUUACCAACCCUUAGUAAACUGCUG
rnacentral:lncRNA from 1 species